rnacentral:rRNA from 1 species
UACGUAGGCAGCAAGCGUUGUUCGGAGUUACUGGGCGUAAAGGGUGCGUAGGCGGUUUGGUAAGUCUUAUGUGAAAUCUACAGGCUCAACUUGUAGUCUGCAUGAGAAACUGCCGGGCUUGAGUAUGGGAGAGGUGAGUGGAAUUCCUGGUGUAGCGGUGAAAUGCGUAGAUAUCAGGAGGAACACCUGUGGCGAAAGCGGCUCACUGGACCAUAACUGACGCUGAUGCACGAAAGCUAGGGGAGCAAACAGG